GCUCCCGGAGACUUGAUGAUGACUCCUUAGAAGAACAGAUAAGGCAGACCAGUGAGGACUCGAGAGCCCUAAGGGAGCUCAUGGAGGGAGAGAGGGGUAAACUGAGGCAAAGCCUAGAAGAGCUGCAGCGACUCCACAGUCAGGUGACACUGCUGAGUGUGGAGAUGACUGCCCUAAAAGAGGAGAGAGACCGACUCAGAGUCACUUCUGAGGACAAGGAGCCAAAGGAGCAGCUUCAGAAGGCCAUCAGGGACCGCGACGAGGCCAUUGCAAAGAAGAAUGCUGUGGAGCUGGAACUUGCCAAGUGCAGGAUGGAUAUGAUGUCUCUGAACAGCCAGUUGCUGGAUGCCAUUCAGCAGAAACUGAACCUCUCGCAGCAGCUGGAAGCUUGGCAGGUAAACUGGAGCCUGAGAUCCAGGGCGAGAGGAGACUCCAGGAGGAAUCUCUGAACCCAGGCAGAGUGUAAGGAGAGUUUGCCACUGGAGGGUCCCAUGUGACUGGGUGAACAGCACAU
rnacentral:sRNA from 1 species